CCUACGGGAGGCAGCAGUGAGGAAUAUUGGUCAAUGGGCGCGAGCCUGAACCAGCCAAGUAGCGUGAAGGAUGACUGCCCUACGGGUUGUAAACUUCUUUUAUAAAGGAAUAAAGUGAGGCACGUGUGCCUUUUUGUAUGGACUUUAUGAAUAAGGAUCGGCUAACUCCGUGCCAGCAGCCGCCGUAAUACGGAGGGUCCGAGCGUUAUCCGGGUUUAGUGGGGUUAAAGGGAGCGUAGAUGGGUUGGUAAGUUCGUUGUGAAAGUUUGCGGCUCAACCGUAAAAUUGCAAUUGAUACUGGCAGUCUUGAGUACAGUUGAGGUAGGCGGAAUGCGUGGUGUAGCGGUGAAAUGCUUAGAUAUCACGAAGAACUCCGAUUGCGAAGGCAGCUUACUAAGCUGCCACUGACAUUGAUGCUCGAAAGUGUGGGUAUCAAACAGGAUUAGAUACCCUUGUAGUC
rnacentral:rRNA from 1 species